rnacentral:tRNA from 1 species
CGGCGUGUAGCUCAGUCGGCCAGAGCAGCCCCUUUGUAUGGUGCCGGUCGCAGGUUCGAGUCCUGCCACGCCUC